AACACGUAGAAGGACCUGACCCUCAGGGGAGCUACUAUGCUUAUUCCUGUUUUAGAGAGAAGGCCGUCGAGGCGAAGGAAGCAUCUUGCCCAGGAUGGUAUAGCUGCUGGGGCAGAGCCGGGAUCCUUGGCUCCACGGAAGCACACACCUGAAUCACACCUGCAUCGAGGCCGAAAUAAAGAAUAUCACCAACUUCCCAAGUGACCUGGGUGUGGGAGAGUUGAUGAAGGAUACUGAAAAAGCAGCAAGGGGAAAACACACC